rnacentral:rRNA from 1 species
UACGGGGGGGGGCAAGCGUUUGUUCGGAAUUUACUGGGCGUAAAGGGCUCGUAGGCGGCCAACUAAGUCAGACGUGAAAUCCCUCGGCUUAACCGGGGAACUGCAUCUGAUACUGGAUGGCUUGAGUUCGGGAGAGGGAUGCGGAAUUCCAGGUGUAGCGGUGAAAUGCGUAGAUAUCGGGAGGAACACCGGUGGCGAAGGCGGCGACCUGGGGUUUGAUAUUGACGCUGAGGCGCGAAAGCGUGGGGAGCAAACGGG